AUACGGAGGGGGUUAGCGUUGUUCGGAAUUACUGGGCGUAAAGCGUGCAUAGGCGGACUAUUAAGUCAGAGGUGAAAUCCCGGGGCUCAACCCCGGAACUGCCUUUGAUACUGGUAGUCUUGAGGUCGAGAGAGGUGAGUGGAAUUCCUAGUGUAGAGGUGAAAUUCGUAGAUAUUAGGAGGAACACCAGUGGCGAAGGCGGCUCACUGGCUCGAUUCUGACGCUGAGGUACGAAAGUGUGGGGAGCAAACAGGAUUAGAAACCCUAGUAGUCC
rnacentral:rRNA from 1 species